rnacentral:ncRNA from 1 species
UCCCACCCAGCGAAGAGCUACCGGAAGGGUAGCCUGCCUGGACAAGCACCAGGCUAGCUGGGUGGGUUUUC